rnacentral:ncRNA from 1 species
CCUUAUCGAGAGUGGCUGAGGGAAUAGGCCCGAAGACGCCCGGCAACCUAUGUGCUUCUGAGAAAAGAGUGAAGCAGAAAAGGUGCUAAAUCCUACAGGAAUCCCGGCGGGAAAUUUCCUGAAAGAUGAGG